AGCUAUAAAUAGAGUUCCUUGAUAUCUCUUUUUUUAUGUGCUUCUAGUUCUGAUUCAAAAUACACAAUGGAGUUACAACUAAUUAAGGAGAAAGACACCUUACCACAACCACACACUACUGCAACUCUCAAAUGUCCUAUGGAUGGAAAAUUUUAUGUUAGCCCGGCACCGGGGAAGCCGCCUUUUGUUAAGGUUGGAGAUAAGGUUACAAAAGGUCAAGUUGUUUGUCUCAUUGAGACUGUAAAAACUCAUGAACGCGAUUCAGAUCGAUCGAUCUGGAACAAUUGUUGACAUGCUUGCAGAGAAUGGAAAAUCGGUUAAUUUCGAUGCUACUUUACUUGUAAUUCAGCCAUGAAAUGAAAGAAGUUUAUA